CGUCGGACUUGAGGAUGGCAGCUCAGAUCAACGUCUCCGUUCUUGAAAUUUCACGAUGCAUUUCAUUUCUAACUUCUUAAAGGAGGAGCUAUGGUUAUGUUAGCUGUUGUAUUUUACAAGGCAUCGACGAGGAUGACGGCUGUAAUGGACGUUUCCAUCGUUCUCUUCACAUUUCCAGUAUUUUGAGGCAUGGUUUUAUUGCAGACUUUCCCUUUUUCAUCUGGUGAUAGAUUAACCACAGCAAAACAAAUUCUUACAAAGUUCUUAAGUAUUAUAGCUAAAGCUUAAUAUGAAAGAACAUCAUACCGUACUUUGACAAUUACUUAAAAAGGCAUUCAAUUUUUGUGUGAGUAUCAGCAUUUCGUAAUUGUAAGUAAAAGUCACCUAACUUUGUCACCAAAGCUUUGUCACCAAAGCUUUUCUUUCGAUAAAUUGGUAUUACUUUGUGAAAUAUUUUCCUAUCUAAUUAGCAUGAUUCUUUCAGGUCUUGAUAAGGGUUUCAUUAUUUAUCAUUAACAAAACAAAUUUGUAAGUGUACUUGCAGGUCUCUGGAAUGUACCUAGUAUGCUGUGCUGGUUGUGAGAUCCUUUUGUGGCCGAAGGAAAUGUCACCUGUUACUGUUACAGUGUAAAUAAAGUAUAUCUAGUAAGA